GCGGGCUGCGGGCUGCGGGGCCGGUCCUGCACGCUGCAGCCAGGCUUCUCCUGAAGCCCCUUGAGCUUCUGCGACCAGGGUCAACAGCCUGCAGUUGGUGAGGAGCAGCCGGAGUUGCCCGGACGGACCUCAGACCCGCAGUUCCGGGGGCCCGCAGGUGCUGCUCAUUGUCUCUAGCGAGGAAGAGUUCAGAUCCGCAUUCUUAAAACAGCAAACGAACAAAGAAGACGCUAUUGAGAACAUGCAAUGCUCCAGGCUCUAUCCUACAUAUUCUGUCCCCAAGGGGUCUACUCAAGCUCGGUCACGUAUAUAUGCCGCUUUCAUUUGAUGAUGGAAUGCUGCAGCUGUCCACUUCUGGGAGGUGCCCGCAUAACAUGCUGAACCAUCUAUACACCAUGCCCUUGUCCUCUCCUCCUCAAGUCAGUUGAUCAUAGGGCACAUCCCACGAUGACAUAGGUGUAUGUUUGGGGACAGAAUGCAUUGUAACAGAAGUAGCAACCAUAGGCAUUUGGGCAACAACCUCUGUGUUUUGGGGACCUGUUUGAGCAAAGUCAUGUAUUUACCACUUCCACUUGAUGAUGGAUUGUUGUUGUGCACAUCCAACUUUAUGGCUUGGUGGGUCAGGUAACACCCAGCUAACAAUGGGCAAGUUGG